rnacentral:rRNA from 1 species
AACGAACGCUGGCGGCAGGCCUAACACAUGCAAGUCGAGCGAGGACUUCGGUCCUAGCGGCGGACGGGUGAGUAACGCGUGGGAACGUGCCCUUUGCUUCGGAAUAGCCCUGGGAAACUGGGAGUAAUACCGGAUGAGCCCUUUGGGGGAAAGAUUUAUCGGCGAAGGAUCGGCCCGCGUUGGAUUAGGUAGUUGGUGGGGUAAUGGCCUACCAAGCCGACGAUCCAUAGCUGGUUUGAGAGGAUGAUCAGCCACACUGGGACUGAGACACGGCCCAGACUCCUACGGGAGGCAGCAGUGGGGAAUCUUAGACAAUGGGGGAAACCCUGAGCGAGCCAUGCCGCGUGAGCGAUGAAGGCCUUAGGGUUGUAAAGCUCUUUCAGCUGGGAAGAUAAUGACGGUACCAGCAGAAGAAGCCCCGGCUAACUCCGUG